rnacentral:rRNA from 1 species
CCAAGGCGACGAUGGGUAGCCGGCCUGAGAGGGUGAUCGGCCACACUGGGACUGAGAUACGGCCCAGACUCCUACGGGAGGCAGCAGCUAAGAAUCUUCCGCAAUGGACGAAAGUCUGACGGAGCGACGCCGCGUGGGUGAAGAAGGCCGGAAGGUUGUAAAGCCCUUUUCUCGUUGAGGAAUAAGCACAGGAGGGAAUGCCUGUGCGAUGACGGUAGGCGAGGAAUAAGUCCCGGCCAAUUACGUGCCAGCAGCCGCGGUAACACGUAUGGGACGAGCGUUGUUCGGAAUCAUUGGGCGUAAAGGGCGCGUAGGCGGCGAGGUAAGCCUGGUGUGAAAGACCGCAGCUUAACUGCGGAACCGCGAUAGGAACUGCUUUGCUUGAGUUCAGGAGGGGGAGCUGGAAUUCCAGGUGUAGGGGUGAAAUCUGUAGAUAUCUGGAAGAACACCGGCGGCGAAGGCGAGCUCCUGGCCAUGAACUGACGCUGAGGCGCGAAAGCGUGGGGAGCGAACAGGAUUAGAUACCCUGGUAGUCCACGCUGUAAACGAUGUGCACUAGGUGUUGGGCCACGAAGGUUCAGUGCCGGAGUCAACGCGUUAAGUGCACCGCCUGGGGAGUAUGCUCGCAAGGGUGAAACUCAAAGGAAUUGACGGGGGCCCGCACAAGCGGUGGAGCAUGUGGUUUAAUUCGAUGAUACGCGAGGAACCUUACCAGGGUUUGACAUAUGCCGGAAUGUGCAGGAGACUGCGCAGCCCUUCGGGGCCGGUAUACAGGUGCUGCAUGGCCGUCGUCAGCUCGUGCCGUGAGGUGUUGGGUUAAGUCCCGCAACGAGCGCAACCCCUACCGUCUGUUGCCAGCAUUCAGUUGGGGACUCAGGCGGAACUGCCGGUGACAAACCGGAGGAAGGUGGGGACGACGUCAGGUCAUCAUGGCCCUUAUAUCCUGGGCUACACACGUGCUACAAUGGCCGGUACAGAGCGAAGCAACACCGCGAGGUAGAGCAAAUCGCAGAAAGCCGGUCUCAGUUCGGAUUGGAGUCUGAAACCCGACUCCAUGAAGUUGGAAUCGCUAGUAAUCGCGCAUC